rnacentral:rRNA from 1 species
CCUACGGGCGGCAGCAGUGGGGAAUAUUGGACAAUGGGGGGAACCCUGAUCCAGCCAUGACGCGUGUGUGAAGAAGGCCCUCGGGUUGUAAAGCACUUUCAGUGAGGAAGAACGCCUGGUGGUUAAUACCCAUCAGGAAAGACAUCACUCACAGAAGAAGCACCGGCUAACUCCGUGCCAGCAGCCGCGGUAAUACGGAGGGUGCGAGCGUUAAUCGGAAUUACUGGGCGUAAAGUGCGCGUAGGUGGCUUGAUAAGCCGGUUGUGAAAGCCCCGGGCUCAACCUGGGAACGGCAUCCGGAACUGUCAAGCUAGAGUGCAGGAGAGGAAGGUAGAAUUCCCGGUGUAGCGGUGAAAUGCGUAGAGAUCGGGAGGAAUACCAGUGGCGAAGGCGGCCUUCUGGACUGACACUGACACUGAGGUGCGAAAGCGUGGGUAGCAAACAGGAUUAGAUACCCCGGUAGUC